rnacentral:rRNA from 1 species
UACGUAGGGCGCAAGCGUUGUCCGGAAUUAUUGGGCGUAAAGAGCUCGUAGGCGGUCUGUCGCGUCUGCUGUGAAAACUCAGGGCUUAACCCUGAGCUUGCAGUGGGUACGGGCAGACUAGAGUGCGGUAGGGGAGACUGGAAUUCCUGGUGUAGCGGUGAAAUGCGCAGAUAUCAGGAGGAACACCGGUGGCGAAGGCGGGUCUCUGGGCCGUAACUGACGCUGGAGGAGC